GAAAUAUUUUUGCUUUUGUUUUCCUUCUCAGUUCUUACGGCAUGCUGAGAGUGUGAUAACAGCAUGUUAAUGGAGCCACAGCACUAAAUAUUUUGUGAACCCCCGUUUGAAGAGUUAGACCACCAUUCGUCUUCAAUAAGCAGGUCUGAGGCCAUGAAGCACCAAUAAACCCAAACCUGAAAUCAUCAAGGAGGCUUCAUGCUGGGACUAAGAGACAUGGAGACAGUAAAGCAGAAGGAGAGCGUGAACUCGCCAGUGUUGGGACAACAUUAGCUCAGUGUUCGCAUCACUGCCGGCAUCUGUCAGUCUCCUGCUCUCCUCACUUGGGAACAAGACACAGAGAUACAUAAACUCCACAUGGGUCAGCAACUCAUCCCUGACCUAGAGUGGGCACUCUACUCUUUCCUGGCGGAAAACCAUGUCCUCAGAGUUGGAAGUGCUAAUUUCACUCCUGCUGCUUCAGAUUCAGCUGUAGACCACCCCACUGUGAGCUGGAGGUCACCGCCUGAUGAAGUGAAAUAAACCACCUCAUGUGCAAAAAGCAGACAGGUGAUCUUGACGCCACCAAAGUGGGGAUCCUCCACCACUUGGCUGUGUGUCUAUGGUUAACACAAACCACGGUCUUCUGUCAAAAAUACAUCAACAAGACAAAACUGUCCGUUGUACAUUUAAAAAAUUAGGUUGGUUUAAGUUUACAAGUUUGUAAAGCACAGUUAUGUGCUCUUGCUGUUACCAGUGAACACAGGUGUCACCAUACAAUGAAUAUAUAAAGAGCUUUUCAUUUUGAGGUUCUGUA